GACGAACCGAGCGAACGUUGUUCGGAAUCACUGGGCUUAAAGGGUGCGUAGGCGGGUUGCCAAGUUUGGGGUGAAAUCCUCCGGCUCAACCGGGGAAGUGCCUUGAAUACUGGCGGUCUCGAGGGAGGUAGGGGCGUGCGGAACUAACGGUGGAGCGGUGAAAUGCGUUGAUAUCGUUAGGAACUCCGGUGGCGAAGGCGGCACGCUGGACCUCUUCUGACGCUGAGGCACGAAAGCCAGGGGAGCGAACGGG
rnacentral:rRNA from 1 species